GCGGGUGUGGCGGAAUGGUAGACGCGCCGGUUUUAGGUACCGGUUCCUAUGGAGUGAAGGUUCAAGUCCUUUCACCCGCACCA
rnacentral:tRNA from 1 species